AUGGCGGCCCUCAUCAAGCUCGGAAGCCUUCUUAGGCAGAGUGCUUUGGCGAGCAGUGCCUCGACCGGCUCGGCUCCUGCCCUGUUCAACGCUGCCCGCUUCAUGUGCGCCGGCCAGCCCGCUGGUGGCAAUAAGCUUUUCGUCGGCGGCCUGGCCUGGGCUACUGACGAUCAUUCGCUGAAGGAGGCGUUCCAAAGCUUUGGAGAGGUCGUUGAGGCACGUGUCAUCACUGAUCGAGAGACUGGAAGGUCUAGAGGGUUUGGUUUUGUGAGCUUUGCGAAUGAAGCUGAUGCAGAUAGCGCUGCAAAAGGCAUGGACGGUCAGGAGCUUGCAGGGAGGAACGUCCGUGUGAACUUCGCCAAUGAGAGGCCUUCGGGUGGUGGCGGCUUCUCACGCGGCGGCGGUGGCUAUGGAGGAGGUGGUGGCUUUGGCGGCGGCGGCGGCUAUGGUGGUGGCGGCGGCGGCUAUGGCGGUGGUGGCCGAGGUGGCGGUGGCUAUGGUGGUGACCGUGAAGCUUUCUAA
rnacentral:rRNA from 1 species